rnacentral:rRNA from 1 species
AUGGAGAACCCGCUGCUGGAGAUGGUGAUCAGAGGCCUGCCUCUCCUCGUCGACGACGUCGACCUCGCCCAGAGCCUCCUCGACCUCGUCCAUGCCGAGAUCGACCGGACCGAAGCCCGCCUCGGCGAGGUGGCGGCCCAGCUAGAGCAAAUCCAGGGCCUGGCCUUGGAGUUGGAGGGAAUGCGCCUGGCCCUCCCCGUGGCAACGGAGGAGCUGCUCGCGGCGAACGAGGCCAGCUUCCACGCCCUCCUGCGCCAGCAGCGGCAUCUCACCCAGGCCGUCCAAGUGCUCCUCGUCCUCCGGGCGGCCGCCUACACCAGGAGCCGCUCGCACCUCGUCCCCGGCGUGCUCCUCGCGGCCGCGUCGGCGGCGGUGGCGCCCGGGUUCAGGACCUUCGUCAGGUUCUCCGUCUUGGUGCUGGGUUUCCUCUUCGCUUCUGGUCGUGGAGGGUAA